UGGGGAAUUGUUCGCAAUGGGCGCAAGCCUGACGACGCAACGCCGCGUGGAGGAUGAAGAUUUUCGGAUCGUAAACUCCUGUCGAAUGGGACGAAAAGAUUGCGGGUUAACAGCCCGUAGUCCUGACGGUACCGUUAAAGGAAACCCCGGCUAACUCCGUGCCAGCAGCCGCGGUAAUACGGGGGGGGUAAGCGUUGUUCGGAAUUACUGGGCGUAAAGGGCUCGUAGGCGGCCAACUAAGUCGGACGUGAAAUCCCUCAGCUUAACUGGGGAACUGCGUCCGAUACUGGAUGGCUUGGAUUUGGGAGAGGGAUGCGGAAUUCCAGGUGUAGCGGUGAAAUGCGUAGAUAUCUGGAGGAACACCGGUGGCGAAGGCGGCAUCCUGGACCAAUAUUGACGCUGAGGAGCGAAAGCCAGGGGAGCAAACGG
rnacentral:rRNA from 1 species